rnacentral:rRNA from 1 species
AUUGAACGCUGGCGGCAGGCCUAACACAUGCAAGUCGAGCGAGCGGCGGACGGGUGAGUAAUGUAUGGGGACCUGCUCGAUAGAGGGGGAUAACUACUGGAAACGGUGGCUAAUACCGCUUACUACCGGAUGAACCCAUCUGGGAUUAGCUAGUAGGUGGGGUAAAGGUGCACCUAGGCGACGAUCUCUAGCCGGUCUGAGAGGAUGAUCGGCCACACUGGGACUGAGACACGGCCCAGACUCCUACGGGAGGCAGCAGUGGGGAAUAUUGCGCAAUGGGCGCAAGCCUGAUGCAGCCAUGCCGCGUGUGUGAAGAAGGCCUUAGGGUUGUAAAGUACUUUCGGCGGAGAAGCGUUACCCGCAGAGGAAGCACCGGCUAACUCCGUGCCAGCAGCCGCGGUAAUAC